rnacentral:lncRNA from 10 species
UGAAAGUUGUCGAGUGCGCCUGUCCCUGUGGUGGGAGCAGUGGCGCCGAGCGUGCCCACGGGCCGCCGCUUGGGUUUCUCUCGUGUUCAGGGUAGUAUGGACGUGGACAAUGGCAGUGGCCCCUGGCUGGCCCAAGAGCCGGGUCCAGAUACGCGCGCCUGAUUCCAGGCGUCAUAACCAACCCGGGGCCGCGAGGCUGGGAUCAGGCACCCCGGAGCCGCUUGCCCGUGGCCGGGCUGCUCUCCCCCUCUAAGCCUAAGCACCGCCAGUCGCGGCGCUGCGCUUUCCGCCGACCUCCCAGAGCGUCCCGCCGUCGCCGGCGGCCAGCCUCGCGCAGGACCAGUGUGGCGCCGCCCUGCUGUUGCUGGGGGGCGCCCGAGGCCUCCAUUCCUUGCCCAGGCUUCCGGCUCUCGGGGCGGCCUCCCUUCCGCCCACGCUCCAGGGCUUCCCCGGCUCCCGAGCUCCGAGCUUCCACCACAUCGGCCGGCUCAGGACAGGGCUUCCACUGUAAAGUCGGCUGCCAGACGUGUUGGAGCUCACCGGAUUUGUCCCUGGUGCCUUAUUUAGUUCACUUGGUGAGGUCAUGUUUUUUUCCUGGAUGGUGUUGAUGGUAGUAGAUGUUCUUCAGUGUCUGGACAUUAAAAUCUUGGGCAUGCAGCACCAUAUGAGAGGUUUAAAAAAUAAAAUUAAAAAAGAGAAAAGAACCCAGAGUUGAUCUCUGCAGCAUGCCAUCACUGCUGGGGAUGAGGAAACGGUGAUUUCAGGACUGUUUUUUCUGUCUCUUCAGUGCCUCUUUCAGUGAUCUGAGGUUAAAACCAGACUAUGGAGGAUUCAUCAACAGACCAGGAAGCAACAGCCUGGGCUCCAGAAUUGACCAGUAGUCCGUGCACAGACGAGGAGAGGUCCCAUGAAACUUCGGCGCAGUCUGGGAACCGAGCUCUUUUUGUAACAAGUUGUUUGUCAGGAGGCCCGGUCAUGAAAGCCCUUCCUGACUGGGCUCAAGGAAUACAAAAAGGACAACUUGUUUUUGCCAUUGUCUGUUGUUUUUCAAUAACUAGUUCUCCGAAACAGCACUGGAUGAAUGCCUCAAGGGGCUCACACAACUCGUUCCAGGACUUAGUGACCAUUGUUUCUGUCCCUGUUCAAUAGAGUUCAAAUUUAAUAUUUAAAUUUUGCUCCACAAUGUGCCAUAUUAUCUGUAUCCAACCUGUCAUUGGGCAUUUAGGUUGAUUCCAUGUCUUUACUAUUGUGAAUAAUGCUGCAAUAAACAUUUACGUGCUUGUGUCUUU